rfam:Erysipelotrichaceae bacterium NYT-BL-F16 NODE_152_length_5075_cov_423.167_ID_303, whole genome shotgun sequence.
UGUGGUCUUGAUGGCAGAAUGGAAAUACCCAGACACUUUUCGAACCUGGCAGUCAAGCAUUCUAACGGCGACGAUAGUGAACAGCGAAAAUAGCAAGAGGCCAUGC